rnacentral:rRNA from 1 species
GACGAACGCUGGCGGCGUGCUUAACACAUGCAAGUCGAACGGAAAGGCCCUGCUUUUGUGGGGUGCUCGAGUGGCGAACGGGUGAGUAACACGUGAGUAACCUGCCCUUGACUUUGGGAUAACUUCAGGAAACUGGGGCUAAUACCGGAUAGGAGCUCCUGCUGCAUGGUGGGGGUUGGAAAGUGUCGGCGGGUGGGGAUGGACUCGCGGCUUAUCAGCUUGUUGGUGGGGUAGUGGCUUACCAAGGCUUUGACGGGUAGCCGGCCUGGGAGGGUGACCGGCGACAUUGGGACUGAGAUACGGACCAGAGUCCUACGGGAGGCAGCAGUGGGGAAUAUUGCACAAUGGGCGGAAGCCUGAGGCAGCAACGCCGCGUGCGGGAUGACGGCCUUCGGGUUGUAAACCGCUUUCGCCUGUGACGAAGCGUGAGUGACGGUAAUGGGUAAAGAAGCACCGGCUAACUACGUG